UUUGUUUCUCCGUUAAGAGACCGGGUUUCGGGCCAGGCGCAGUGACUCACGACUGCAAUUCCAGCACCCCGGGAGGCCGAGGCCGGCGGAUCACCCGAGCCAUUUCAGCUUGGUUAAGAAUAUUGCUGGGGAACUAGUGCAGUCAUUUGGAGUACAUGCUCUCCCUCUGCCUUCCGCCAUGAAUGGAAGCUUCCUGAGGCCUUCCCAGAAGCCAAGCAGAUGCCAGCAUCAUGCUUCCUGUACAGCCUGUGGAAC